AAAAAAGCUUUUGCUCGUGCUGAAAUAGAGAAUGUUUAGAGCAAUAGUUCGGAAGGGGGAAGAUUUAUAAGAACAUGAGAGAAUAUCUCGAGCCACAGGGAAGCAGGACGUUUAUUGAUCCCACAAUGCCUGAGCUCAUGUAUUCAUCUUGCGGUGAGGGCUCCGGUAGGAGCAAGGGGAAGGAAAGGGCAUUUGAAGAGUGAAGAGCAUAGUUGUAUGGCUCUUUCCUUUCUUCUUUUUGGGUAUUGUAAUAAAUAUUGUCAAUAUAUAAUGCCAACUUAGAAACAUGACAUUAUUGUGAUUA